CAGGCUCCAUGUCCCAUGUUCACCUGCCCCUCCUUCCAUGUCCUGCCAGGCUCUUCCCACUGUCCAAGCACACCCGUCUCCAGCUCCGCUUCCCCAUACCAGGACUCUCAGUAAACAAUACAGGAAAAGAAGACAUAUGGGGACUUUGUUCCUUAUCUUUUCUACUGCUGCCAUUCAUAACUCUGGACGCCUGUAUUGAUAUGGUAGCCAAAGGAGGGGGUAGAGGAGGCCAGAUCCUCUUCUCAUGGGCAAAACUCCCAUUGACUUCACUGGGACUAGGACUUGGGACACAUACUGCAGUGGCCUGAGCCUUGACUUUAAUGUAUUUGACUCCGCUUAGUAGAGCGUGUGUGGUGAGGAGAGAACACUGAAGACAGGUCAUCUCUUUAACAAAGAACAGCAGGCCCAUACUUUGCCCUGCCGCAGGUAGGGAAGAGAAGCCUGAACUGCUGAAGCAAGCAUCGUUCCAUAAAGCGCACACAGGGAAAACUACGAGACCAGCAAUUUAAUGGAAGCUCCCUAAACACUGCCCUUCAUGAUGCAAACUAAUUAUGGCAGUUCCUGAACUUCAGACUUUUCAGUUAUGGUUUAAAUGGAGAUUCAAAUCCAUGAUUCCUCAAACUUUUGGGCUAUGCAUUAGAUCAUUGGUACUCAGAGUGCCUCUUUAACUUGACUGGAAUACAUGAAUGGGUUCCAUUCAGUUGAUUAUAUUAGAGGAUGAAAUUUUGUGCGGGGGAGGCAGUACCCAGACUCCCUGAGCUUCAGGCUUUAGAGAGGCAACUCUAAUAUCAAAAUGGCUUUGAGAGACAAUCUGAGCAACUUUCCCCGCUCUGGACAAUGGGUAAAUGCUGUAAAAAUACCUGGGCAAAGUUACUCCUCAAAGUUAGGGCGCUAUUUAACCAUUCGUUCACAGGGUGCCAUGGUGCUGGGCAUGUGACAGAUUAUUCUAGAGACUCCUAGCCCAGUGAAGGAUUAAGUCAGGUAUGGUGUUUGCUCAAAGAGCAACCUGGGCAGGUCAGAUGUUGGCACUUCUCUUUCUUAGACAGUGAGCAAUUAGGGAUUGACAUUCACUUAUAUUAAAUCAAAUAGCAGCCCCCUGGUUUUGUAUGCUCUAGACAGCUACUUGGGUCACUAAUGUUAAGGCCAGCCAUGGAUUAGGAGAACAUGUAUACAGUAUAUGUAUGUAGUGUUGAAAGAUUUGAAUUAGAACGAGAUGAUCACGGGUGAAAUGUCCCUAUCUGGCACUGCUACCAUUCCAUUUGUCACCCUUUGUCAGAGAGGUUCCUUUUUCUAUUGCCGACAGGCUUAAAAUGAUCACUGCAAUGAGAAAAGGAUGCACCUAAGGUGCUUGUGUGCUGCCACCCACCUCAAAUUAACUGGCAAAAACAAACACACAAACCAACCAGGAACAUUUGUAGAAACUUUAAUGGCUGGGGGGAGGAGGAAGAAGAGGGGAAGGGAGAAGUGUCUUGAAAUUUGUGGACAGGGAGGGAGGAGAAGGGGAAAAAAAACAAGGGAAGAAGGACAGUGUGAAAGAAAUGGGGAGUUGAAUUUUCCAUUUUUAUGCAAAACGAUAAGAGGGAGAUUUUCAAAGGCGCAAGGAAAAUUAGGCAUCUAAUUCCCAUUGGAAGUCAAAGGGAACUGGGUGCUUCAGUCUGCUUUGUGCCUCUGAAAAUAUCCCCUCUUCUUGUUUGUAUAUUUAAAAUGUUCUGUCAAUUUACGUGGGUAUGAUAAAUCACAAAAAUAUACUUCUAAAAUACCAACUCCCAUCAUGCUGAACAGCCAAAGUAACUUCAUGAAGACAGACAAACUUGUGUUAAAAGAAAAGGGAAAAAAAAAUCACACCAUAAAUUUAUGUAAGUUUCUAUUUUAAAAUCAUCUGGUCCUAAUUUACAAAAGUUACUGCCUCAGAGCUAUUGCCAAAGUGCUACAUUUGAUUUAUGGAAAUACUUUAGCACAUUUUUCCAUCCUGCUAUUGUAGAAUCUAUUCACUGCUCUUUUGUUAUUAUUAGAAAAAUGACAGACUUUCAAAAAACCCCAACCUUUAAGCAGCUCAAUGAUAUCUUAUUAUAGCACGCCAUAUGAUGCGUAGGUAAUAAGAAACCUAGUAAACAGUCCGGUGUAUUUAGAAGCAUUCCACUUUUGUUCAAUUAAAAAAAUAAGUGUUCCAGCUGGUAAAUGGAUGUUUGAAAAUGUUCAGUUUGUGCCAAACCACUUUUCUUAAGCGCAGACUACAUUUUUUUCAGGCAAAUAUUUAAACAGCAGCCAUACUGUGAUGCAUGGCUAGCCAUUAGAAACAAAACAAAACAAAAAAAAACCCCAGACAGCACAGCACAGGGGGUACUCACAAAAUAUUCCAUUAAAAUAUAUCUAAAAGUAUCAAUCUAAACAACAUUUUAUGCCCUGAAAUGGGUUUGGAGGAUUAGAAUCUACUGGGUGCUUGGCUCUAGACCCCUUUUCAGCAAAGGAGUUAAACACAUGCUUAAAGUUAAGCAUGUGCUUAAGUCCAUCUCUAUUCAGCAAAGCACCUAAGUGCGUAAAGUUAAGCAUAGGCUUACAGGCCUUGCUGAGUCAGGGUCCUAGCUAAUAACAACAUGAAUCCGUUCUGAACCUUUUGUUUGCUUCUGACACUAAACCAAGAUUGAGAUGCUGAAUGUUUGAGUUUUUGAAGGUCUUGAAAAUAUUGUUAGCUUCCCCUCCCCGCUCCCCCAUUAUUUUUCAUCUUCGCUAGAAAUAGGUCAACGCUGCACAUUUUGGAUAUGGAGUUCAAUGUUUCCAAACACAGGGUAUUUGGAUGUAAGGUUUUGGUGGAGGCCUUUCUCUAAUUUUCAUGCUCCUCUGCACGUUGUACUUCUCUCUAAAUCUGGAACCAGAAGUGCUGAAAUACCACAAGAUAAGAGGAUUCUUCUGGUAUAGGCACAAUACAAAUAAUAAUUAAUAUUAUUUCUAUCCUGAGCUAAAGUAGGCAGUGCUAGAAAUCUCAUGAGAAAGCAGUAGUGAUUUAACACUAAUUGGGAUGUGAUCUAGUCUAGCCGAAGUGCUCUUCCUCCUCCUCCUCACACAACCAUGUAACACCCCUGCUAAAGUAUAAGUACCACUCCUCACUGCCUGCUUUCAUAAUGCUACCUCUUGUUCCUCUCUCUGCGUACUCUCAUGUUGAUUCCUGGAUCCAAACUUAAGGCCCGCAGAAGUUAUGGGAGUCUUUCAACUGACUUCACUGCUUUGGAUCAGUCUCUUUAUGGGCCUGUAAGUUCCCACUUAGUCAUGGAUUCUGCUGACUGCCUUUCUCCUCACCUGACCUCCUUAUCAUAUUUCCAGCCAUUCUCUUCCAAACUCAGCGAAUUUAGAGAGCUGGCCCCUGAAGGAGAAAGCCAUCAGGCCCUUACGAUGAGCCUCAGACAAGUACUGAAAUGUUUAGAUGCCUUUCUGAACCAAACCCCAAAUCCAAAGUUUUCAAGGUUCACCCAUCACUACAUGUGACUGAUCUUACUAGGUUCCCAUGCUUGGGGUUUGCAAAGCAGCAGCUGAAUAUGCUGCAGUUUGAGUCACGGAAUAAUGGAGUGAAAUCCUGGCCCUAUUGAAGUCAGAGGGAGUCUUGCCACAGACUUCAAUAAAGCUAGGAUUUCACCUAGAGAGAGAAAAUAACUAUUGGGCCAUCCUAUCCUUCUCUCCACCAAGGGAGAAUUGUUCCCUAUGGUACAUUUACUAGUGGUAUACCACCAGGUCUUCCUGUAAUUUCCCACGUUUUGAAAGUAUUUCAGUUUUCUUUCUGGUACACAGACGAUUUUUAUCUUUUUUUGUGAACCAAAAAUGUGAGAAACAGGAAGCCUUUUAACAUACCCAACUAAAAGAUCCGGGCUGAGAAAAUUUCCCUUGCACUCACCAAAUACACGCUCCACCAAAACGUCUCAAAUGGUUCUGUUAUGCUGAUGUAUGUGAGCCACUGAUGAAGAAAUGAAUGGAUGCAAAGAAGGGAAAGGGGAGGAGGGAAAGGGGGUAAAAAGGUCAUGACUAAGAAAAAGAAUGAUUCAGUGCUGAAUUUUUUUCCCCAUGGAUCCUGGAUGUCCACGCUGAAAACAUGUAAUUGGUUGAGCCCCAGCUGGAGAUCUUCUGAGCUCUUCCUUCUUCCCCUCCAUGCCCUAGGUGGCUUUGGGUUCUGUGGGGCUGGCAUUUUUGUUUGUAGAUCAAAGUCAGUGUAAAGUUGUAAACUUCUCACUGUGUCCUGCCCUGGACAGGAGAUAACUGUACAAGCCAAGCAAAACACUAGUGUCCAAAUUUAAUUUGACACACCAUGAAAAUGAGACAAUUGUGUGCUAGCUGGUUGGGGUCCAGAGAUGUCACCUCCCAUUACUGUCAUUUGUCGGGAGGCUGCCAGCAUCUGUCCAUUUUCACAACCCAAUAAAUGCGGUGGAAGACCUCGGCAGCCUGAGGGAGAGUAGAGCUUUGUUUUUCUGGGCCUAAUCUCCUUCAACCACUUCCUGUUUCUAUUGAAGAGACUUCUUUUUAAUGCCUUUUUUUGUUUUGUUUUAAUGACCAGUGUUCUUGUGUCUGUUUCCAGGUCUCACUGAAAGGUCAGGUCUGCUUUUCUCUUUGCUUUCCAUUCAUAUGGUGAGUAGCAAUCACUGCUUCCCAAGGGCCUUGCGGCUGCUCUCUUUGCUGACCUCACUCCAGUUCUUUGAGUUUGACAAUGGCCUUUCCAUUAUUGUACUUGUUGGGAAAAGAAUCCCUGGGGAACUCUCAAUGAAUUUAGAUCCACACAUCCAAUUCUUGCUAUUUAUCAUUACUUUGGUAAAGUGUUUUGGUAAAUAAGUGUGUCCAAACUGCAUAAGCUUUCAGCCCUUUCUUUGCACAGUGAUCUAACCAAGGACAUCUGACGUGAGGAAUCAUUUUUUCCACCUGCUGCUUUUAGCAGCUUCCAAAUUUUCUUAUUCUUAGUCUGCAUGUUAUUUGUCUCUCACAGCAAUUGUCCCACGUUUAAAAAAAAAAAAAAAAAAAAAAAGAUGACAUUAUU